rnacentral:rRNA from 1 species
AUUGAACGCUGGCGGCAGGCUUAACACAUGCAAGUCGAACGCGUGGCGGACGGGUGAGUAAUGCUUGGGAAUCUUUCUUCUGGCGGGGGAUAACUACGUGAAACUGGAGCUAAUAUCGCGUACCCUAGGAUGAGCCCAAGUGGGAUUAGGUAGUUGGUGAGGUAAAGGCUCACCAAGCCGACGAUCUCUAGCUGGUCUGAGAGGAUGACCAGCCACACUGGGACUGAGACACGGCCCAGACUCCUACGGGAGGCAGCAGUGGGGAAUAUUGCGCAAUGGGGGCAACCUGACGCAGCCAUGCCGCGUGAAUGAAGAAGGCCUUCGGGUUGUAAAGUUCUUUCGGUAGCGAGGCGUUAACUACAGAAGAAGCACCGGCUAACUCCGUGCCAGCAGCCGCGGUAAUUC